rnacentral:rRNA from 1 species
UACAGAGGGUGCAAGCGUUAAUCGGAUUUACUGGGCGUAAAGCGUGCGUAGGUGGUGAGUUAAGUCUGUCGUGAAAGCCCCGGGCUCAACCUGGGAAUGGCGAUGGAUACUGGCUCGCUAGAGUGCGGUAGAGGAGAGUGGAAUUCCCGGUGUAGCAGUGAAAUGCGUAGAGAUCGGGAGGAACAUCAGUUGCGAAGGCGGCUCUCUGGACCAGCACUGACACUGAGGCACGAAAGCGUGGGGAGCGAACGGG